rnacentral:rRNA from 1 species
GACGAACGCUGGCGGCGUGCUUAACACAUGCGAGUCGAACGGAAAGGCCUCUUUCGGGGGGUACUCGAGUGGCGAACGGGUGAGUAACACGUGAGUAACCUGCCCUUGACUUUGGGAUAACUUCAGUAAACUGGGGCUAAUACCGGAUAGGAGCUCCUGCUGCAUGGUGGGGGUUGGAAAGUUUCGGCGGUUGGGGAUGGACUCGCGGCUUAUCAGCUUGUUGGUGGGGUAGUGGCUUACCAAGGCUUUGACGGGUAGCCGGCCUGAGAGGGUGGCCGGCCACAUUGGGACUGAGAUACGGCCCAGACUCCUACGGGAGGCAGCAGUGGGGAAUAUUGCACAAUGGGUGGAAGCCUGAUGCAGCAACGCCGUGUGCGGGAUGACGGCCUUCGGGUUGUAAACCGCUUUCGCUCAUGACGAAGCUUUGUGUGACGGUAGUGGGUAAAGAAGCACCGGCUAACUACGUG